UUUCAAUUCAGUCGGUCGAGACUCUCAUUCUAGGGUUUGUUUUCGAUCUUCUCCAAGAAUAUAUUUAUUUUUAAUACUUUUGUUUGCCGAAGCUUGGGGAUAAGGAGCCUCCUGGGUCGUUUGUUUAAUUAUAAUCAUCAUCUAUUUGAAAAAUUGAAUGAUCUGAUGGAGU